rnacentral:rRNA from 1 species
AUUGAACGCUGGCGGCAGGCCUAACACAUGCAAGUCGAGCGGAUGAAGGGAGCUUGCUCCUGGAUUCAGCGGCGGACGGGUGAGUAAUGCCUAGGAAUCUGCCUGGUCGUGGGGGAUAACGUCAGGAAACGGGCGCUAAUACCGCAUACGUCAUGAGGGAGAACGUGGGGGAUCUUCGGACCUCACGCUAUUUGCUGAGCCUAGGUCGUAUUAGCUAGUUGGUGGGGUAAAGGCCUACCAAGGCGACGAUCCGUAACUGGUCUGAGAGGAUGACCAGUCACACUGGAACUGAGACACGGUCCAGACUCCUACGGGAGGCAGCAGUAGGGAAUAUUGGACAAUGGGCGAAAGCCUGAUGCAGCCAUGCCGCGUGAGUGAAGAAGGUCUUCGGAUUGUAAAACACUGUAAGUUGGGAGGAAGGGCAGUAAGUGAAUACCUUGCUGUUUUGACGGUACCUACAGAAAAAGCACCGGCUAACUUCGUG